AAUAUACUCCCUCCGUUCGGAAUUACUUGUCGAAGAAAUGAAUGUAUCUAGACGUAUUUUAGUUCUAGAUACAUCCAUUUUCGAGACAAGUAAUUCCGAACGGAGGGAGUAAAAG
rfam:Triticum aestivum genome assembly, contig: Triticum_aestivum_CS42_TGACv1_scaffold_002985_1AL